rnacentral:rRNA from 1 species
AGGUUAAGCUGAUAAGGGCGCAGGGAGGAUGCCUUGGCACUAAGAGCCGAAGAAGGACGUGAUAAGCUGCGAUAAGCUGCGGUUAGGAGCAAAUAUCCGCUAACCCGCAGAUUUCCGAAUGGGGAAACCCGGCAGAGAAAACCUCUGUCAUCCAUACGCCAAUACAUAACGUAUGGAAGGGAACCCGGUGAACUGAAACAUCUAAGUAGCCGGAGGAAGAGAAAGAAACAUCGAUUUCCUGAGUAGCGGCGAGCGAAAGGGAAGGAGCCUAAACCGCGGUGCGUGCACCGCGGGGUCAUGGACUGCAAAAGUGAGCUGAAAGCUAGAAGAAUGGUUUUGGGAAAGCCAGCCAGAGAGAGUGAAAGCCUCGUAUUCGAAAGCGGAAGGCAGCGGCAGGAUCCGGAGUACCACGAGACACGUGGAACCUUGUGGGAAAUCGGGGGGACCACCCCCCAAGGCUAAAUACUACUUAGUGACCGAUAGCGCAUAGUACUGUGAAGGAAAGGUGAAAAGAACCCCGGGAGGGGAGUGAAAGAGAACCUGAAACCCUGUGUCUACAAGCUGUGGAAGCACUAUAUAUGUG